rnacentral:rRNA from 1 species
UACGUAGGCAGCAAGCGUUGUUCGGAGUUACUGGGCGUAAAGGGUGUGUAGGCGGUUGUUUAAGUUUGGUGUGAAAUCUCCCGGCUCAACUGGGAGGGUGCGCCGAAUACUGAAUGACUAGAGUGCGGGAGAGGAAAGUGGAAUUCCUGGUGUAGCGGUGAAAUGCGCAGAUAUCGGGAAGAACACCCGUGGCGAAGGCGGCUCUCUGGGACGGUACUGACGCUGAGACGCGAAAAGCGUGGGGAGCGAACAGG